UGGGGAAUAUUUCACAAUGGGCGCAAGCCUGAUGCAGCCAUGCCGCGUGUAUGAAGAAGGCCUUCGGGUUGUAAAGUACUUUCAGUCGGGAGGAAGGUGUCAAGGUUAAUAACCUUGGCAAUUGACGUUACCGACAGAAGAAGCACCGGCUAACUCCGUGCCAGCAGCCGCGGUAAUACGGAGGGUGCAAGCGUUAAUCGGAAUUACUGGGCGUAAAGCGCACGCAGGCGGUUGAUUGAGUCAGAUGUGAAAUCCCCGGGCUUAACCCGGGAAUUGCAUCUGAUACUGGUCAGCUAGAGUCUUGUAGAGGGGGGUAGAAUUCCAUGUGUAGCGGUGAAAUGCGUAGAGAUGUGGAGGAAUACCGGUGGCGAAGGCGGCCCCCUGGACAAAGACUGACGCUCAGGUGCGAAAGCGUGGGGAGCAAACAGG
rnacentral:rRNA from 1 species